ACAGAGGAGCCAAGCGUUGUCCGGAUUGACUGGGCGUAAAGCGCACGCAGGCGGACCGGUGCGUGGGGUGUGAAAUCGAACGGCUUAACCGUUCGCCGCCAUCCCAUACGGCCGGUCUGGAGCCAUGCAGAGGUCGGUGGAAUUGCCGGUGUAGUGGUGAAAUGCGUAGAGAUCGGCAGGAACACCCAGGGGGAAACCAGCCGACUGGGCAUGUGCUGACGCUGAGGUGCGAGAGCGUGGGGAGCGAACCGGAUUAGAUACCCGGGUAGUCCACGCCGUAAACGAUGGCCACUCGGCCUUUGGGGGCGGAAUCUCCGUCCCUGGGGGCCCCAGCUAACGCGGGAAGUGGCCCGCCUGGGAACUACGAGCGCAAGCUUA
rnacentral:rRNA from 1 species